AUACGCUCUUAAUGCCUGGUGCAAACGAGCAGUAUUCUAAAACACAGUGGAAAAUUAUCGCGCCGAUGACGCUGCAGCAAACUGCUCGUCUGCCCCCUGCCUAAGACAUAUGCAUAAUAGAGAUUAGUUACAUCAUACAGACGUUCGCAUGACACUAUGUAAAUUUAGUAAAAUAAAGCAAGUCAGUUAUACUUUAUUCAGCGAGAAAAGUCAGUAGACGUAAGCAGACGAACGCUACCAGAACAGGAGCGUAUUCACAACUUUCGGAUGCUGUAACACUUUCUACAUGGAAUUCUUAAAGAAAGCAGCCUUAUGUCGCGCGAACAUCGGAUCCAACAACCAAUUCCAACCGAAAUCCGCGUUCCCGCGGAUUCAUCUGCGACCCAAGGGAGAGAUUGAAUGCUGCAUUUGUCAAAAGAGUGCGCGACCCUAUCGCGUGGCAGGAACAAUAGUGAUUGAUCCUUCGUGUUAUUGUGUAAAACAAAACGAAAAAGGAACAACAAGAAGCACACAAUACUAUAAUGGGCACAAUUCAUCGUGGCACGAAGGAACACGCCUCAUUGCCCGGGUGCACGAAUCGUUAAUCCGCCGACUUCAAAAGAGUUAGCAAUUAAACAUAUAACGAACCUAAUCGUGACAGAACGUUGUUUACGUUUGUGCAUUGUUUAAUUACAAUAAUCUCCCAUGGGCUUAUACGAAUGACGAAUAAUGAAAGCAACAAAGAAUGAUUCACCUCACGUGAGAUUUGAUGGAGAAAAAUUAUCUAAUGACACGAUUUUUCCAUGGAUCUCAUUGUUAUUGGAAGUACAGAAGUACUGAUGAUAAUAAUAUUUUCAAAAACAUUAACGAUGUACAAUUGAUCCAGAAAUUUAAGUGCAGCUUAUAAUAAAACAAAUUUGAUUAUAACAAGGCUCUAUAGAAUUUCAUAACAAAAUUAAUGUAUUCUACAUCAAGGAGAGCAAUUAAGAGUUAUUUCAUAAUUCAAACAGAAUUCUCACAAAAUAUUAAUAUAAACUACAACUAAUGAUAAGACUGCGCAAAUACUGUUUUUCUUUCUUCUUAUCUGGUUAAACAGUUGAACUAAUAUCAUUAGUGAAAUUUUACAAGUUACAAAUCACAAAUUAUUAAUAUUAACAGAUCCUGUUACAUAACAGCAACGAAUUUUAUAACAAAGAAAAUGAAAUUUUACAAAUAAGUUUUAUCAAUUACAAACCAUUUGAUUAUCUUUUCUGAUGUAAUAUUGUGAAAUUAUAAGACUUAGAAUUUGUCAAUUUGCCAAUAGUAUCAAUUGGCAAAUUAU
rnacentral:misc_RNA from 1 species